AGUGAACGCUGGCGGUAGGCCUAACACAUGCAAGUCGAACGGCAGCACAGUAAGAGCUUGCUCUUACGGGUGGCGAGUGGCGGACGGGUGAGGAAUACAUCGGAAUCUACUUUUUCGUGGGGGAUAACGUAGGGAAACUUACGCUAAUACCGCAUACGAUCUACGGGUGAAAGCAGGGGAUCUUCGGACCUUGCGCGACUGAAUGAGCCGAUGUCGGAUUAGCUAGUUGGCGGGGUAAAGGCCCACCAAGGCGACGAUCCGUAGCUGGUCUGAGAGGAUGAUCAGCCACACUGGAACUGAGACACGGUCCAGACUCCUACGGGAGGCAGCAGUGGGGAAUAUUGGACAAUGGGCGCAAGCCUGAUCCAGCCAUACCGCGUGGGUGAAGAAGGCCUUCGGGUUGUAAAGCCCUUUUGUUGGGAAAGAAAAGCAGCAGGUUAAUACCCCGCUGUUCUGACGGUACCCAAAGAAUAAGCACCGGCUAACUUCGUG
rnacentral:rRNA from 1 species